ACUGCCCCAACCCCCAAACCCAAGCCAACUUUCUGCGUUUCUCUCCCGUUUUCCCGGAUGGAAGAUUUCUAACUCUUUCAGAGCCUUUCGCGCAAGAAUGACACCGUGGAGCUAAGCGGCACUUUUAAAUAGGGAUGGAGAGGGGAAAGACGUGAAUUUCUGGAGACAUGAAAGAGCUUUCUCCGCUCCGAGGGAGCCUGGCCGUGGGGAUCUUUGUUUGUCACCGGAGGCUCGGCUCACCCCCUACAUCUGGGAUCAAAUAUUUUCCUGAUAAAGACGGAGAAAUAUUUAGACAACGCAGACAGACCACAGGGAGUGACAAUCACGACAAGAAACGAGCAGUGUAUGGCUAGUGAUGUGCCUUCCUGAGGAGAAUGGCUGCAAUGUCUGUUUGGAAUUAUUCCUGGAAUUAGACCAGCAUGAGGUCUUCUCUACCAACCUGAGAACCAAAGAAGAGAUUGGAUUACUCCCCAUAAGAGUCAGCAAAAAUUCCACCAUUAGUUCCUACUUCAUGGAAGACCUGGUCCCAGCCAGAAAUUGCUCAUGGCCUGCGAUUCACUUUGAGUUGUGUUUGUUCAUACCAUCUCUCCAUUGCUGUCAGCUGUAUGUAAAGUAUGAGGCCAAAACAAGACAGCAUCGCCACGGGGAAAUGGAGUUUAGAACUGGCUCUCGAUACUUGGUGGACCUUUGGCAGGAGGCCAAGGAGAAUCAGAAUAAAAAACCAGAAUAAAAUGCCAAAUGCAAGAAAAUAACAGCAACUUAAUAUGAUUUAAUACCAAUAAAGUGGUUAAGGUUGCAGGCACCUCACACCGUUUGCAGCAGUGCAGCCUUUCCACACUCCUGUGCUACGGGGAACCAGGGACAACAUAUUUUGCAGUGGGACAACCUAUAAAGAAGAAAUACAUACUGUCACCUAACUGAGACCAACUGGCCAAUACCAAGGCAAAUCCUACACCGUCUACCUGUUGUCUACCCUUCGCUGGAGCUGUGUAAAGCUACUGAAAGAGUCAUUCAGUUUUGGGGCCAUGCAUUUGAUUUUAUUUCCCUGCUCAAGCAAAAUAGUACCAGAUGCUUCGGAUGGGAUAAACCUGUAUCACAGCUGUGCAAGGUUGGAAGGAAGAACGUUUUCCAUUAAAAUCCCGCUAGUAGGGAAGUGGAGCUCUUUGCUUCUGGAUCUUAAUGGGAAGUUAGAAAAAGUAAAUUAUGGGACUAUCGACAUGGUGUGAAAUGAUGGAACAUCAAGUGAGAAAAGGUCUUGAUUUCACUUUCACAAUCUGGACUAGAGGAAUGUUCCUUUUGCCCACUUUUUCUGUGGGAUUGAUGGGUGUGAUGUACGACAUUGGGCAGCCAGGAAAGGCAAGCCUGGUAUUCGGAAAUCAGAAUAGUCUCAGCGCAGUUUCCAGAAGAACCCAAUUUUAACUGGACUUGAAGGGGACUGCAAUUACCCCCUUGAACCUUCAACGGGCGGAACCAGACAUGUCAUUAAGAAGGUGACACUAAUACUGAGGUAUCCCUGCACCACAGAGCAGCCUCCAGAGAAAAACAUCGCCUUAAGGCUACGAGGUGUGCUGCCUGCACUCGUGGCCACUGGCUACCUCCUGCUAAAGAGGUGCUAAGAAAACUCAAAUUGAUCUGUGCUGAAAAUUGCAUGAUGUUCCGCCAUCACUAUGAAAGAGGCUAUUAGUUCUGGGAAAGCUACUAUAUCAUUUCACAGAGACACUUCCCAUGGCUGAAAUAUAUUUGAAUUAAAUUAAUUUCUGAAUAAAAAAUGAACUGGAUAAUUUAAUGGAUGGUACUGGGGUCAAAGUUUGGUGUUCUGGAUUCUCUCUUUGCUUUAAAAAAAAACAUGAAUGAAACGUAGUUCACUUCCACCCUCUUCUGUGUAUCUUUUUGUUAACUAUCUAUAUAAAUGAUUACCUAUGAAAAUGCUAACGUGAUCAUCACAACCAUCAGAAAAUGUUUUCCACAUCCUAAAACGAAUCUUUUUUUUUCUUUUCUUCUCUUAAUAUCUGAAGUGGAAAGUGGAAGUGGAAAGUGAGUGCAGAAAGAUAACGCCUUAGUCAUGGAUCAUUUUGUUUGACUUCUGUGGAGAGAAGCAGUUUACUUUAUGGUAUUUAUAUUGCAAUAAAGAGUUAAUGCUAACUGUUUUGUUUUGUUUUGUCUGUGAUGAGGUAUCGUAGCUGCAUUCCACAGCAGCACUUAGGAGGGAUUACUGAAUACUGGGAAAUACCACUACGGUUCCAAAUGUUUUGGAAACAAGAUGUGUUAGCAACAAAAAGAAAACUUGGUCUUUAUCUGCAUCACAGCAUAUUCUGAAGGCAGUAAUUGCUGAUAAACUCUACAGUGAGAUGUGCAGUUUGCACUGCUUUGGGGGCAGGAACAGUUCUGCUUUUGGACAGCACAUGGCAUAAAAAGAAUCCUUGAGUCAAGGCACCACCACAAUGUAAGAUAAGUAAAAACCUGAGUCUCAGUUUAUUUCUAAUUCUUCUUCAAGGAUUUGCCGAUCACCCCAAGCUUCUGAGCAAGUCCAAUAGGCACCUUUAGCACAUGCGCUGUUUCUAGUGCAUGCAAAAUUGUAAGGUGUGUGUUUCUUCAUGGUGGAGUACGGUUCCUGAGACCUCAGGCCAGAACUGUGCAGAGGAACCUGGAGAGUGCUCAGAGACUGCUAAUUUAAGUGCAUCUUCAGGGGUAUGCAUUAACUUAGCUGGGUUCUUCAAGUAGAAGCAAGUCUACUGUGUUGAUAGAGAGUUAAACUUAAUGGAAGAUGAAAAAGGUUCAAAAUACCCUGAGAUGCAUGUACAACUACUGCAUCAAAAUACUUAUUUGCUUGUUUACUGACUUAUUUAUUUUAGGUGGGAUUUAGCAAUAACUUUUACUUGGACCCUUUCAUUAUUUACCUGUUGCACGAUGUACUGGAAAUGCAGCUCUUCUAUUAAAUUUCUAUUUGCUCACUAAUGGACAAAAACCUUAAGGACAUUUUUUCAUUCUAAACGUAUAUAAACUUCUGGAACAGGCUGAUUUACAGCAAGUCAUAAUUUUGAAAUGGAAAUCAACAAGAAAAAGCUAUGAUUGGUACCUAAAGCAUGUUUUUUGUACUUUAUAAUGUUUAUGAAUUUUAU